CGCAAGCCUGACGGAGCAAGACCGCGUGCGGGAUGACGGCCUAAUGGUUGUAAACCGCUUUUCUCUGGGAAGAUGAUGACGGUACCAGAGGAAUCAGCCUCGGCUAACUCCGUGCCAGCAGCCGCGGUAAUACGGAGGAGGCAAGCGUUAUCCGGAAUUAUUGGGCGUAAAGCGUCCGUAGGUGGUUAUUCAAGUCUGCUGUCAAAGCGUGGGGCUUAACUCCAUAGAGGCAGUGGAAACUGGAUGACUUGAGUGCGGNAGGGGUCGAGGGAAUUCCCAGUGUAGCGGUGAAAUGCGUAGAUAUUGGGAAGAACACCAGUGGCGAAAGCGCUCGACUGGGCCUGCACUGACACUGAGGGACGAAAGCUAGGGGAGCG
rnacentral:rRNA from 1 species